rnacentral:rRNA from 1 species
GAUGAACGCUGGCGGCGUGCCUAAUACAUGCAAGUCGAGCGAACGGACGAGAAGCUUGCUUCUCUGAUGUUAGCGGCGGACGGGUGAGUAACACGUGGAUAACCUACCUAUAAGACUGGGAUAACUUCGGGAAACCGGAGCUAAUACCGGAUAAUAUUUUGAACCGCAUGGUUCAAAAGUGAAAGACGGUCUUGCUGUCACUUAUAGAUGGAUCCGCGCUGCAUUAGCUAGUUGGUAAGGUAACGGCUUACCAAGGCAACGAUGCAUAGCCGACCUGAGAGGGUGAUCGGCCACAGUGGAACGGAGACACGGUCCAGACUCCUUCGGGAGGCAGCGGUAGGGAAUCUUCCGCAAUGGGCGAAAGCCUGACGGAGCAACGCCGCCUGAGUGAUGAAGGUCUUCGGAUCGUAAAGCUCUGUUAUUAGGGAAGGACAUAUGUGUAAGUAACUGUGAACAUCUUGACGGUACCUAAUCAGAAAGCCCCGGCUAACUACGUG